UGUUAUGUUAUGAAUAUGUUAUCAAAGGUUGAUAAUGCCUAAGUUAUUCCAAGGUAAGGUUGUGAUCAUGUAUGCUUGUAGUGAUGUGCCUUGUGAAUGAUAGAAAUUGCCAAAUUUGAAUGCUUGAAUUGGUUGGUAUUGGUUGUGUAUCUCAAGUGCAGGUCUUGGGUGAAAACUUAAGCGAAAGAUGGAGCUAGGAAUGACUUCAUUUUGUCCACAUGGCCAA
rnacentral:lncRNA from 1 species